rnacentral:rRNA from 1 species
GGGGGGGGCAAGCGUUGUUCGGAAUUACUGGGCGUAAAGGGCUCGUAGGCGGCCAACUAAGUCGGAUGUGAAAUCCCCAGGCUUAACCUGGGAACUGCAUCCGAUACUGGAUGGCUUGAAUCCGGGAGAGGGAUGCAGAAUUCCAGGUGUAGCGGUGAAAUACGUAGAUAUCUGGAGGAAUACCGGUGGCGAAGGCGGCAUCCUGGACCGGCAUUGACGCUGAUGAGCGAAAGCUAGGGGAGCAAACGGGAUUAGAUACCCCGGUAGUCCUAGCCCUAAACGAUGAAUGCUUGGUGUGGCGGGUAUCGAUCCCUGCCGUGCCGAAGCUAACGCAUUAAGCAUUCCGCCUGGGGAGUACGGUCGCAAGGCUG